CCCUCGCUCUGCUUUCCUCUUCUCCUCCGACGAACGGAUCACCGGCGAGCAGCAGCCCCGGCGACCCCUCUCUCUUCCCCUCCUCUCUUCUUUCUUCCUCUAUCCCCCUCCCGUCUCUUCUCCACAGCCAACUCCGGCGAGGAUCAACAGCCAGCCAUCGGCGAGCAUCCGGCAGCAUCAGCAGCAGCCACAACUCCGGCAGAACCCCAGGAGGCCAGCAGCUCCAACCAACGACAGCAAGUCAGCAGCUCGGCUAGAGGGCGAUAGCAACAACACCAACUACUCAAGCUGAGGCUCAAAUGCCUGUGAUUUCGUACCAAACGGAUCUGUCCAGGAAGCUCAACAUAUAGAAAAAUUGAUACGACAUUAUAUUGCUUCUUUCAUCAAAGUUGGAGAUAAGUUCAACUGAUAAUUGAAGGAUCUCGUGGACAUGGCAACGUAUUUAUGGAGGAAAUAUGCAGAUUAUGUCUACACAAAAUGGGAAAAGACGCUCCUCUGGGAUAUGGUAGAACCAUUUAGGAGACCAAAAUCGUUUACUCCUCUUGUUACUAUCUACGUAUGUGCAUUUUAUACCGGGGUUAUUGGAGCAGCCAUCACUGAACAAGUCUACAAGGAGAAAUACUGGGAAGACCACCCUGGUCAAGAUGUGCCUCUAAUGAAACCAAUGUUUUAUGGUGGCCCUUGGAGAGUAAUGAGAGGUGACGUUCCUCCUAUGGGGAAGUUCGAUUUCUGAGCUGCAGUCAGUUAGAUAGUUAUUAGGCAUCCAACAUAAGCUCUAGGAGAAGGAAAACCAUCACCUUAGGCUUUGGUUCAACGACAAAGGUUCUACAACACGUACACAUGAGUUCAACUCUUGCCGGGGAACCAAGUCUAUUAAGUAGAGAGGAGUAGAAGAGCAGACCCAUUAUCCACCAAUUCCGGAACUGAUACCAAACAAAAGAAAGGUACUAUUUUUCUACAAUUAUUGUGCAUUUAUAUUUGACUAUCCUCUCUUGUAAAGAUUAUAAUAUAGGUUCCCAAAUUUUAUCUAUACCUAUUUUAG
rnacentral:misc_RNA from 1 species